rnacentral:rRNA from 1 species
AUUGAACGCUGGCGGCAUGCUUUACACAUGCAAGUCGAACGGCAGCGCGGGCUUCGGCCUGGCGGCGGGUGGCGAACGGGUGAGUAAUACAUCGGAACGUGCCCAGCAGCGGGGGAUAGCUCGGCGAAAGCCGGAUUAAUACCGCAUAAGACCUGAGGGCGAAAGCGGGGGAUCUUCGGACCUUGCGCUAUUGGAGGGGCCGAUGGCAGAUUAGCUAGUUGGUGGGGUAAAGGCCUACCAAGGCGACGAUCUGUAGCUGGUCUGAGAGGACGACCAGCCACACUGGGACUGAGACACGGCCCAGACUCCUACGGGAGGCAGCAGUGGGGAAUUUUGGACAAUGGGCGAAAGCCUGAUCCAGCAAUGCCGCGUGUGUGAUGAAGGCCUUCGGGUUGUAAAGCACUUUUGGCGGGAACGAAAAGGACUGUGCCAAUACCACGGUUCGAUGACGGUACCCGCAGAAUAAGCACCGGCUAACUACGUG